ensembl:lncRNA
AAGUCAUUGCAACCUUCAUCUCAUGCGGUGUUGUUUAUUCUGCUUGACUUCAGUGAACGGAUCUCAGAAAGUAAAGACAACACCAGGAAAUGGCUCUGUUACAGUUCGAGAUGGAUGUAGGCAUUGCUGUUGAUAAGCACUUGCUUAUCAUCUCUUCUGCGAUUUGGUCGCUGGUUGGAGCAGUGGAAAUGCCACCCAAAUGGUCAGCUUGCAAGGCUGGAGCGCAGGUAGAACGAGCAUCACUUGUUUGCAGAAGCCCACAAGUUAAGUAGGUUGCCAGACUGUUUUGGCAAAGGGGAAAAAGUCACGAUCGUUGCUCAAACAAAUGCGGUAUCUCUUGGGCCAUUGGUAUUCUCACAAAU